AUGCGACCAUAACUCGUUACAACACCGGUUCUCUUCUGAUCCCCUAAGGUAAGCAACGUUGAACCUGGUCAGUAGAAAGAUGGGUGACAUCUCGGAAAUACCAGGUGUU